rnacentral:rRNA from 1 species
AAACCAACAGGGAUUGCCUUAGUAACGGCGAGUGAAGCGGCAAAAGCUCAAAUUUGAAAUCUGGCGCCUUCGGUGUCCGAGUUGUAAUUUGAAGAAGGUAACUUUGGAGUUGGCUCUUGUCUAUGUUCCUUGGAACAGGACGUCACAGAGGGUGAGAAUCCCGUGCGAUGAGAUGCCCAAUUCUAUGUAAAGUGCUUUCGAAGAGUCGAGUUGUUUGGGAAUGCAGCUCUAAGUGGGUGGUAAAUUCCAUCUAAAGCUAAAUAUUGGCGAGAGACCGAUAGCGAACAAGUACAGUGAUGGAAAGAUGAAAAGAACUUUGAAAAGAGAGUGAAAAAGUACGUGAAAUUGUUGAAAGGGAAGGGCUUGAGAUCAGACUUGGUAUUUUGCGAUCCUUUCCUUCUUGGUUGGGUUCCUCGCAGCUUACUGGGCCAGCAUCGGUUUGGAUGGUAGGAUAAUGACUAAGGAAUGUGGCAUUGCUUCGGUGGUGUGUUAUAGCCUUGGUUGAUACUGCCUGUCUAGACCGAGGACUGCGUCUUUGACUAGGAUGUUGGCAUAAUGAUCUUAAGCCAC